AUACUUUCAUGCUUGUGAGUGAAUAGUUGAGUGUUCUGCAAAAAAUGACCAAAACAUUAUUUUUUUUUCAUUUUUUACUACUAAAAUCAUUUACUAACAUUUUACUUGUAUUAACUUUUACUUCAAAGGCAUUUACUUUAUACUCUUUUACUUUAUGCCAUUUACUUUAUACUUUAUAUUUAGUCUCCCAUAUCAUAUUAUUUGUAAUUUUUUUCAUUUGUUUUUUGUCCAUUUGGACUUUUUCUUUUAUGACCUUG
rnacentral:lncRNA from 1 species